rnacentral:rRNA from 2 species
CCUGACUGCUAUCGGAUUGAUACUAAGCCAUGCGAGUCAUUGUAGUAAUACAAGGCAGACGGCUCAGUAACGCGUAGUCAACCUAACCUAUGGACGGGAAUAACCUCGGGAAACUGAGAAUAAUGCCCGAUAGAACAUUAUGCCUGGAAUGGUUUAUGUUCCAAACGAUUUAUCGCCAUAGGAUGGGACUGCGGCCUAUCAGUUUGUUGGUGAGGUAAUGGCCCACCAAGGCUAUUACAGGUACGGGCUCUGAGAGGAGUAGCCCGGAGAUGGGUACUGAGACACGGACCCAGGCCCUAUGGGGCGCAGCAGGCGAGAAAACUUUGCAAUGUGCGAAAGCACGACAAGGUUAAUCCGAGUGGUUUCUGCUAAAGGAACCUUUUGUCAGUCCUAAAAACACUAACGAAUAAGGGGUGGGCAAGUUCUGGUGUCAGCCGCCGCGGUAAAACCAGCACCUCAAGUGGUCAGGAUGGUUAUUGGGCCUAAAGCAUCCGUAGCCGGCUCUGUAAGUUUUCGGUUAAAUCUGUACGCUCAACGUACAGGCUGCCGGAAAUACUGCACAGCUAGGGAGUGGGAGAGGUAGACGGUACUCGGUAGGAAGGGGUAAAAUCCUUUGAUCUAUUGAUGACCACCUGUGGCGAAGGCGGUCUACCAGAACACGUCCGACGGUGAGGGAUGAAAGCUGGGGGAGCAAACCGGAUUAGAUACCCGGGUAGUCCCAGCUGUAAACUAUGCAAACUCAGUGAUGCAUUGGCUUAUGGGCCAAUGCAGUGCUGCAGGGAAGCCGUUAAGUUUGCCGCCUGGGAAGUACGUACGCAAGUAUGAAACUUAAAGGAAUUGGGCGGGGGAGCACCACAAGGGGUGAAGCCU